rnacentral:rRNA from 1 species
UACGCAGGGUGCAAGCGUUACUCGGAAUUACUGGGCGUAAAGCGUGCGUAGGCGGUUGUUUAAGUCUGUUGUGAAAGCCCUGGGCUCAACCUGGGAACUGCAGUGGAAACUGGACAACUAGAGUGUGGUAGAGGGUAGCGGAAUUCCCGGUGUAGCAGUGAAAUGCGUAGAGAUCGGGAGGAACAUCCAUGGCGAAGGCAGCUACCUGGACCAACACUGACACUGAGGCACGAAAGCGUGGGGAGCAAACAGG